rnacentral:lncRNA from 1 species
UGGGCCUCCAAUGAUCAUCAUACUAGCGGACCCAUUAUCAUUCAAUUUAAUGAGAGGCAAUGAUUUAGUUAUCACCAUAACUAUCUCAUUUUAGGGAUCUAAUAAUUUAGAGGACUCAAUUAAUGAAUUAAGAGAAGAGAAGAGAUCAACCAAUUAACUACAAUCCUUCCAUUGACUUUAUCAAGUCAUUGAAUUGGAUUAGUGACAUAUUGAUUGAUUGGCACCU